CCUACGGGAGGCAGCAGUGGGGAAUAUUGGACAAUGGGGGAAACCCUGAUCCAGCGACGCCGCGUGAGUGAAGAAGUAUUUCGGUACGUAAAGCUCUAUCAGCAGGAAAGAAAAUGACGGUACCUGACUAAGAAGCCCCGGCUAACUACGUGCCAGCAGCCGCGGUAAUACGUAGGGGGCAAGCGUUAUCCGGAUUUACUGGGUGUAAAGGGAGCGUAGACGGCAGCGCAAGUCUGGAGUGAAAUGCCGGGGCCCAACCCCGGAACUGCUCUGGAAACUGUGAAGCUGGAGUGCAGGAGAGGUAAGCGGAAUUCCUGGUGUAGCGGUGAAAUGCGUAGAUAUCAGGAGGAACACCGGCGGCGAAGGCGGCUUACUGGACUGUAACUGACGUUGAGGCUCGAAGGCGUGGGGAGCAAACAGGAUUAGAUACCCCAGUAGUC
rnacentral:rRNA from 1 species